rnacentral:lncRNA from 1 species
GCAGGUUUUCACUUAACAUAUUAAUUCCAGAGAAAUAAGAAAAAAGCUAUGUGAGAUUUCAUUAAAACUUGGCUUUAUUCCUAGUUUCAGGGGCUUGUGAAUGACCUGCAAGAUCACCUCCUUCAACCUCUGCCUCUAAAUCUUGUGGAGUCUAUAUAAUUUUAAAAAGAGCAUUUCUGCUAUUCUUAAAUUCCACAAUUUACCUUGGUAACCUAAAUCUCUGUAAGUCCACAGUGUCUACACUAAAACAUAUCUUUCCAUCCAAUUUAAACUUCUUCCAUUCUCAUGUGGUAAUUCCAAUCUAGAACUUUGUGUCCUGUCUCCAUUGGAGAUGAAGCUCAGAUGGCCAGCCACCCCUGUGCCAAGAAUCCAGGCUUUCUGAAUGCAAAAGUCAGAAAGGGUGCAGCGAUGUUUUCAGGAGACUUCUAAGACAAAAAUCUUUGAGGUUUCACGUCACAGAAGAUGCAUCUUAACUUCUAUUUUACUCAGAGGUGAUAUAAAAGAAUGUGAGUAAGGUUUUAGGUUGAGUCAUAUAUUGUAGGAGGCUUUCUAUUUUUUUUCCUAAGCUAACAACAAGAUUACUCACGAUUCACAUCAGAAACACAACACAUGAUUAUUGGAAAAGGAAUUCAUCAGGCUGUUCACAAUCUUUAGUUAUUUACAUCAGACUUCAUUUCAAUUCGGUUACAUGAAAUCCCCAUCCUAAAGUUCCAGGUGCUCUCAGAUGUAUAAUACCAGUUGCAAUGUGGUUGAUAGGAAGAUUGUGCCUUCAAAAAUUUUAAAUGUGCUAGAGAUGGGUAUCCCUGGUGGCUCAGUGGUUUAGUGACGCCUUUGCCCCAGGGCGUGAUCCUGGAGACCUGGGAUCAAGUCCUGCAUCGGGCUCCCUACAUUCAGCCUGCUUCUCUCUCUGCCUGUG